GCCUUCGUGGUAUAAUUGAAAGUACACUCGACUCGUAUCCGAAACACCCAAGGUUCGAGUCCCGGCGAGGGCA
rnacentral:tRNA from 1 species